GCAUCACCCUCUGUUGUGUUUCCCAGCAAGCCCUAGCAUUCCUUCAAACAAGUAUUCACUUUAGCAGAAAGUCCAAGAAAAGGCUUGCUCCCUUGAGGAUCAAGAAGAAAGAAACAGCUAAGAAAGGACUGACAGCAGCACGAAGAAUACAGAAUCCAGAUAAAGAGGGAAAUGAGGAGGUGGAGGUGAGCAGGAGACAGCUAAGAAAACUGCACAGGCGGUGGGGAAUUUUUUUUUUUCCUGCCUAGACACACAUGGACAAGGAGGCAGCAACUGGGCCAUCUGCAUCUUAUCUGAAACAUAAAUAAAGGACAGAGCUGAGACAAAAAGGAAAUCCACCCGGGGGCUGCUUGUUUUGGCUCUCACAUCAGUGAUGCGCAGGUUGAAUGCCUGCUGUGUGAGGGGAAGAGAGCUGCUGAAGGCUCACCAUCUCAGAGACUUGUAGACAGAGGGACAAAAAUCGUUAUGCCUAUGUAACGGAGAUUCUUAAGCCAAAGUCCAUUUAUCCCAAAAUGGCUACAGAUGAUUUAUUGGGCAAGAAACUAGAGACAAAAAGCAGUGUAAGCAAGCCAGUUACCCCCACUGCAAACAGGAGAAAUGUUAGAUCCUGAACAGAAAUCGGCUAGCAGCCUGUUGAGGUAAUCUCUGCAUCAUCUGCUUCAAACUAAUACAUUGUAAUCCCCAGUAUUACAGGGGAAGAUAAGACUUAAAAAAAAAAAAAAGAAGAAGACAGAGAAGAUGCUGGAUCUCUGUUUCUUAUGGCAUUCACAGUGCUACAGUCUGCGUGUGUGUUUUGAUAGGAAUAAUGCAUAUCAGUCUGGUCACAAGCAAAAAACCAAAAAAAUCUAGAGCAGUGAAGAAGGAUCCAGAUAGCAGAAUGACUGGGUCAGCUGGAGACAGAGCUACGUUCCAGGACACGGUGUGGGGUGUGAUUGGAAAGGCAUACAGAGUCACUGGCAGGAGAUAAUGAUAGAUGCCCAAUAAGAACCUGGAGAAUCUCCAAAUAAGUCAAGGAGUUCAGGUCAAGUGCCUUGACAUACCAACUGCUGAAACUUCCUUAGCCUGCCGAAGGGUUUUUGAACCCGAAAGCUUGCUUAAUAACUAUUCUCCAACUAUUUGGCUUGGUCUAAUAAAAGAUAUCAAAUUCACCCAAGGAACCUUGUCUGCCCUUGACCCCCAUCCUAAACAUGAACGCCACAUGCCCCUGGAGGCUGGGAGAGCACAGCGAGCUACUGCAGGCAACGGUGCUGCUGUCAGCAGUGCGGGGUGGCAAGCGCCGACCAGCGGUCAGCUGCCAGCAGUGUCAGUAGCGGCCGGUGGUGAUCACAGACUGCCCACAGACGGCACCACAGGUGUCGGCAGCAAGGGGCGGAGGAGUUGGCGAGCAGCGACCACCUGCAGGCGGCGCUGGCAGCAUUGGUGGCACCAUUUCGCAGGGGGUGCACCGCCACGCUUGGGGUGCACAUGCACCCGUGUGUACCCCCUAUGCAUCACCACUGAUCCUAAAUGUCUCUAUUUGUAGGUAGUACUAACUGGUUGUCUUAGUUUGUGAUGGUCAUGUUUAUUAGCUAUUAUAUUUUUGGAGAUUUGGAGCAUUUCAUGUAAAGAAAGGAGAGGAAGAAAGGUAAAGUAAAGGAUCGUAAAAACAAUAAAAUAACUGUCAUGUCACAUAGAUGUAAGCCUUUUGCAAUCCUGAACCACAUCUAGUGGCCAUGUCACACACAGUCCCUUUACGAGCACUCCUGUGUGUCACACUUAUUGGCUUGUUUGGAAUCAAUGCCCU